rnacentral:rRNA from 1 species
UGACCGCUGGCGGCGUGCCUAAUACAUGCACGUCGAGCGAACGGACGAGAAGCUUGCUUCUCUAAUUUUAGCGGCGGACGGGUGAGUAACACGUUGAUAACCUACCUAUAAGACUGGGAUAACUUCGGGAAACCGUAGCUAAUACCGGAUAAUAUUUUGAACCGCAUGGUUCAAAAGUGAAAGACGGUCUUUCUGUCACUUAUAGAUGGAUCCGCUCUGCAUUAGCUAGUUGGUAAGGUAACGGCUUACCAAGGCAACGAUGCAUAGCCGACCUGAGAGGGUGAUCGGCCACACUGGAACUGAGACACGGUCCAGACUCCUACGGGAGGCAGCAGUAGGGAAUCUUCCGCAAUGGGCGAAAGCCUGACGGAGCAACGCCGCGUGAGUGAUGAAGGUCUUCGGAUCGUAAAACUCUGUUAUUAGGGAAGAACAUAUGUGUAAGUAACUGUGCACAUCUUGACGGUACCUAAUCAGAAAGCCGCGGCUAACUACGUG